AACGAACGCUGGCGGCAGGCUUAACACAUGCAAGUCGAGCGCCCCGCAAGGGGAGCGGCAGACGGGUGAGUAACGCGUGGGAACGUACCCUUUGCUACGGAAUAGCUCCGGGAAACUGGAAUUAAUACCGUAUGUGCCCUACGGGGGAAAGAUUUAUCGGCAAAGGAUCGGCCCGCGUUGGAUUAGCUAGUUGGUGGGGUAAUGGCCUACCAAGGCGACGAUCCAUAGCUGGGCUGAGAGGAUGGUCAGCCACAUUGGGACUGAGACACGGCCCAAACUCCUACGGGAGGCAGCAGUGGGGAAUAUUGGACAAUGGGCGCAAGCCUGAUCCAGCCAUGCCGCGUGAGUGAUGAAGGCCUUAGGGUUGUAAGGCUCUUUCACCGGAGAAGAUAAUGACGGUAUCCGGAGAAGAAGCCCCGGCUAACUUCGUGCCAGCAGCCGCGGUAAAAC
rnacentral:rRNA from 1 species